rnacentral:lncRNA from 1 species
CCCUGGGCCGUGAUGCCAGCGCACGGGGCAGGGGAGGGCCGCGGGGCUGCCUUCUGCAGCCCAGGAAUUCUAGGCAGGGAGGCCAGCUCCAGGGAGGCCCCGCAGCUUCUUGAGGGCAAAGGGGAAGGUCCCAGCAGCUCCCAAGCUUCAAACCCCUGCUUUUAAGGGUGAGCAAAGGACAGAGAAGUGAUAGCACCCCAAGCUCCAUGAAACGUUGUUGGGGGGAGGCAGGGCCUCUCCUGCCUCACUUCCUUUGCAUGGGAUUCAAUCUCAUGGCCUCUCACCACCUGUACAACCCUGGCCAGGAGCCUAACCUCGGUUAUUAGAAGCUAGACAUGAAUUAGAGACAUCCACGAGAGACCACACAACCCCAUCUCCCACACACACAUGCAAAAGUGCCCAAUAAGCAGCAGCUGUUGGGACAGCUCGAACUCCUAUCCCCAGCGGUCACCCCGGCCUCCACGUGCUCCCUCAGUCAAGGUAUCCCUCCCUAAUCGCGCGCCUGGCAGGAGGUGGCCGAGCCGGAUAAGCGGCGGCGGCGGGCUGGCGGGCGGCCACCUCUCGGGCAGGUCCGGCCCCCGCGGGCGGGCGGGGCGCGCGACGAGGAGGAGCCUCCGAGUCCGGCCACCGCCUCCACCUCGGACCGUCAGCCGCCGCCGCUGCUCCGAGCGGCGGGCCGGAGAGGUAUACCGUGAGCCACCAGCGCCUCCCAUGAAGGAGCCCAGGCACCCGGC